GAUGAACGCUGGCGGCGUGCCUAAUACAUGCAAGUCGAGCGAACGGACGAGAAGCUUGCUUCUCUGAUGUUAGCGGCGGACGGGUGAGUAACACGUGGAUAACCUACCUAUAAGACUGGGGUAACUUCGGGAAACCGGAGCUAAUACCGGAUAAUAUUUUGAACCGCAUGGUUCAAAAGUGAAAGACGGUCUUGCUGUCACUUAUAGAUGGAUCCGCGCUGCAUUAGCUAGUUGGUAAGGUAACGGCUUACCAAGGCAACGAUGCAUAGCCGACCUGAGAGGGUGAUCGGCCACACUGGAACUGAGACACGGUCCAGACUCCUACGGGAGGCAGCAGUAGGGAAUCUGCCGCAAUGGGCGAAAGCCUGACGGAGCAACGCCGCGUGAGUGAUGAAGGUCUUCGGAUCGUAAAACUCUGUUAUUAGGGAAGAACAUAUGUGUAAGUAACUGUGCACAUCUUGACGGUACCUAAUCAGAAAGCCACGGCUAACUACGUG
rnacentral:rRNA from 1 species